UACUUAUAUUUUUGAAUAUGUCUAUGAGAAAACAGAACUUGGUUUUCCUCAAGGAUAGGGAAUUCCAUUGCUGAGGGCAAAGGGUAGGAGGGAGAUUUCUGACCAUAUACAUGGUGAAUGGUACAUGUCAAACUUUAAUCCAUAUGACCAUAUUUCCUAUUAAAAAUAAAUUAUAAAAUAUCUUUAAUUAUAAAAUAACUAAACUUGUUUUUUAAACUUGGAUAGAGGGUCGUGUGCUAGAGAAUGGAUUUCCAUGAGGUGGGAAGGAUACCAGAGGGCCUCAAUGGCUUUUAAAAAAUAUCUAAAUUCUGCACUUUAUUUUAUGUAUUUUUAAUUUUGUUUUUUAAUUAUGGCUUUAAUUAUAUAAAUUUGUGACUUCCAAAGAUUAUAGUUCAAGAGUUUCCCCAAUGCAGUAAAGAAUACACACGCACACAGGCCUCUUCAGACUAUCAGUGUUUCCUCCCAGGCCUUAGCUAUAAAAAGCUUUUCUCCUUCACUGCUCUCACAGAGUCACAUAUUUCCUGCCUCUCAGCUGCCUGUGCUUGCUGAUGUCUGACCUGAAUGACCUUUACAGAGUCAACCAAGAUGAGAGGCGGCCCCAGAGUCUUCUGGAGCCUCCCUUUGAAGGCCCGGUGUUGAUUAUUUGCUUAUCAAGCCUUUGCUGAGAAUUUUCGAGAUGCCAAGCACUGUGCCCAGCUCUGAAAGCAACUUUGGAAUCAUUGCAGGAGCACGGGGACCAGGACUUUCCCAGCUCCCUGAAGGGAAUGGCAAUUCCAAGGCAAAGUGCUACUCUGUGGGAGUCAAGUGUGACCCUGCAUGUGAGAUGCCUAGGAAAGCCUCAGAGUGAGGCAAGAGCAGCUACUGGUGAUCCCCACAGUACCUAAUCUGCUCACUUUCUCCCGCCUUGGAGCCAGUCUUUAUAGGACCAGGUAUGGACACCUGAGACCAACCUUCACAUGCCUACACAAGAUGACUUCAUGUACUUCUUACCCUUCCAAGAAUGAUGAUGAUCAACUAUUCUGCAUUUAAAGGAUUCGAAAGAUAAACAUGCAAUGAAAAGAUUCUCCUAGGAACAUUAAAAUCAAAACAAAACCUUGGACUGAAUGAAACAUUAUGCACCACCUUUGUCAGUCAUUGUGCCUGCCCACGCAAUCGUCCUUGUAGUCAGAACAUCCUGCCCAUCUCUCCAGUCUCUCUCUUGGCCAUGGUCCCCAUCACUGCCAGAUCCAGACACACUGGCCUUCCUUGUGAUCUACAGACAUUUCAUGACUCAUGUUUGCCUUGGUAUGCACUGUUCCUCAGUCUGAAAACUGUUCCAUUCUCCAUUUUCCACUAAAUACACUUGUUCAGCCUUCAAAUUGUGACUCAACUGUUACUUCUCAGAGGCCAAGUUUAGUUUCCAGGAAUGAGCUCCCGUGAACCUUGCCUUGAGGAUUUCUAGUUAUAAUUUUACAUUUUUUGCAUGGAUUAUUUGAUUUAUGCUCAUCUCCUUUACCAGCCAAUAAACUCCAUGACAGUAGGGAGGUUCUUACCUCUGACCAAGUCCCCAGCACCAAGGACAGCACAUGGUCAAGUGCUCAAGAACUAAAUGUGGCAUAAACAAACACACCUGCAUGUCUAUGGCUCUUACUCAGAAGAUAUCUAUAUCCCGCCUACUUGUAAUCAAAUGCUAUUCACAGGUGAUGUGACAGCUGCUGAAUCAAUAAGGCAGAUCCUGAGUGACUUAUUUCAAUAUCUUCAGUAUGACCAAAGAUUAUUCU